UACGGAGGAUGCAAGCGUUAUCCGGAAUGAUUGGGCGUAAAGCGUCCGCAGGUGGCAAUGUAAGUCUGCUGUCAAAGCGUCUGGCUCAAUCAGAUAAAGGCAGUGGAAACUACAUAGCUAGAGUAAGGUAGGGGUAGAGGGAAUUCCUGGUGUAGCGGUGAAAUGCGUAGAGAUCAGGAAGAACACCGGUGGCGAAAGCGCUCUGCUGGACCUUAACUGACACUGAGGGACGAAAGCUAGGGGAGCGAAUGGG
rnacentral:rRNA from 1 species